rnacentral:rRNA from 1 species
AGCAUUAAAGGCAACACCUGCCCAGUGAACAAUUAAACGGCCGCGGUACCCUAACCGUGCAAAGGUAGCGUAAUCACUUGUCUAUUAAUUGUAGACCUGUAUGAAAGGUAAAAUGAGGAUCCAACUGUCUCUUAUAAUAAAUCAAUUAAACUGAUCCCCCAGUACAAAAGCUGGGAUUUAACCAUAAGACCAGAAGACCCUGUGAAGCUUAAACUAACCUAUUAAACCUAAUAAUAGCCACUUUCGGUUGGGGCGACCUUGGAAAAAAAAAGAACUUCCAACAAUAUGACCUUAAUCAUCUACAGGCCAACAAGCCUAAAUGACCCAGCACAGCUGAUAAUCGGACCAAGUUACUCCAGGGAUAACAGCGCUAUCUUCUUCAAGAGCCCAUAUCAAAAAGAAGGUUUACGACCUCGAUGUUGGAUCAGGACAUCCUAAUGGUGCAGUCGCUAUUAAGGGUUCGUUUGUUCAACGAUUAACAGUCCU